UUAUUCAUACAAACAUCAAAAUCCUCAACCAAAUACUAGGAAACUGAAUCUAGCAACAUAUACAAAGAAUUAUACACAAUAACCAAUAGAGAUUUUUCCCAGGAAUACA